CCUUUCAAGGAAAACUGAGAAAUCACUUACUUUUCCAAAUGAAAAACAGGUGAAAUUCUAGACUGGAUGUAGGAUUUGCUAUCUAGGUGUUCAGUUCCAGAGUUUUAUUCUUCAGGUAGCUCAGCUGUAGUUGUUCCAUUUUGUUUCACUGGAUUUUUAACCAUUUCUUUGAACUGGUUUUCCCAGAAAGAUUGUUUUUCUCAAAUCCUCUGAAGGGUAGCAGGAAAUAGUUAAGUGAAAUUUUUUUACCAUUAUAGACUGCAGUGUGUGUGGGGGGAUUGCUGCAGAAACCAAACCAGGUUAUAAAACAUGCUUUCCUCUAUGUAUCCCUACUGUGCAAAUAUUAAAAAAAAAGGACAAAAAAUAUUACUUUUUAAGUGGAUUGAGAGCACCACCUCGUGGCUUGCAGCUGUACAUGAAUAUUUUAUUUGAGAUGGAUGUCAGAGCAACAAGUUUUAAGGAGGAUCUUCCCUUGCAUUCAAAUCUGUCUCUUUUAACUAGAAAGGAAGCACCAUGUAGCAAGUAUCUCCACCUCCCUUGAAGAGAGAUGAAGAAAACUCUCUUUGGCCUGUCAAAUCGCACUUCAAGGGAAAAAAAACACCUACUUUUGAACACCCAAAGGCAGUUCAAGUAGUUUUUAUGACAAAUUCUUCAGCAGUGGCUCAGCACUAAAGAGUAUCUUGCACCUCUUCGUUAUGAUGAAGUUUCCAACCUCUCCUCAAUCUGCCUGAAAUAAGGUUUAGUUCUGAACAAAACCUUUAACAGGGUGCAAGAAGAGGGAAACUAGAAGGGACAAGGACAAAGAGCCAGCCGUUUCUCCACUCUGAUUUCGUCCUGCACGUGCACAGUUACAGCCUUGCUCAGACCAAGGGGUUUACAUCCCGUGUGGUUCAAUGAAGGCUGGACAAAGAUUGCACAGCUAAGAACAGAAAGGGGUGUUUUAGGGAAACAAAUACAUUAUCUGAGGUUUGGGCAACAGCAGCUGCAAGGCAGGAACGCGAGGAGUGCUGGAGUGGGGAGUGAAGGACACGAGAUACGUGAAGAAAUUCUGCAGCUGGAAGUGGACUGAUAACACUUGCAAUGCAGCAGAGUUUUAGGGUGGAACAUCAGAAAAGCACAGACAUUACUAGUAAGACAGCAAAGUACUUAUCAACAGGAGAUGGCACAGGUAGAGAGAUUUUACUGGUUUCAAGUAAGGAAGAGGGGAGAGGCCAUUAAAUCCCACUGCCAUCGUUCAGGGCAGAAGCCUGGAUGAAGUGGCAGUUACUGGAUGUGUGUCUGCCCCCAGCAGAGGAAUCUCAAACCUUGGAUCCUACUGUUUACACAACACGACAGCCCAGCAAAACAGAUGAGGAAAAAUAUUCUGGGAACUCGCCUCACGUCCCCCAAACUCCUGCCACAAGAUGGUGACAGGAAAAUCCAAGUUUUAAUGUCAUGUGAGCCAGAAGAGCAGAGGGGACAGUGCAGGCUAUAGUCCUCGUGGUGUAAUUUCUUUGCAGAAGAAGCUGUUUUGGAUUGAAGUGUGUCCACCUACCCAUGCUCAUGUAUCACCCAGCACGGUUUUAGACACGUACCAAAGAGGCAGCUCCCUUCCACGUGGAAAAGGCUGAAGCAACAAAAUAACGAAUUAUUUUAAAAGUAAAAUUAAAACCCAUACUCAAACAGGUUCUUUGAGUAAUUGAAAUCACUUUUAUUUGUGAGGAACGUCACCCAAUGCUGCACAGUUUCAAAUAGAUCUUAACAAGGAAAGCGGAAGUUUCUCCUCCCCACGUCCUGCAGUGACCAGGACUGGCACAGAAAAAAAACAACUCAUCACACUUGGGAGGUUUAGCACCAGCAUCCAAUAAAAAAAAAAAAGCAUUUUUUGUUUCAA